GUACUUGCUGUGGCAGUACAUUUACUAAAACUGGAAUGAAACUGAGUUUAGCAAGGUCCCUGUGUGGGAAUGACAGGAAAGUUCAUAAGGCAUUUUGUAAUUUU
rnacentral:snRNA from 1 species